rnacentral:rRNA from 1 species
AGAGUUUGAUCCUGGCUCAGGAUAAACGCUGGCGGCGCACAUAAGACAUGCAAGUCGAACGGAAGUCGUUGUAAUGAAAUGGAAAUGGACAGAGAACUUGUUCGAAGAAAAUUGAAGUAGACUUACAACAAUGGCUUUAGUGGCGGACUGGUGAGUAACGCGUAAGGAACCUGCCUUUUAGAGGGGAAUAACAAUGAGAAAUCAUUGCUAAUACCGCAUAUGCCGAGAGAAUCACAUGGUACAAUCGGGAAAGGAGCAAUUCGCUAAAAGAUGGCCUUGCGUCUGAUUAGAUAGUUGGUGGGGUAACGGCCUACCAAGUCGACGAUCAGUAGCCGGACUGAGAGGUUGAACGGCCACAUUGGGACUGAGAUACGGCCCAGACUCCUACGGGAGGCAGCAGUGGGGAAUAUUGGGCAAUGGGCGCAAGCCUGACCCAGCAACGCCGCGUGAAGGAAGAAGGCUUUCGGGUUGUAAACUUCUUUUGUCAGGGACGAGUAGAAGACGGUACCUGACGAAUAAGCCACGGCUAACUACGUGCCAGCAGCCGCGGUAAUACGUAGGUGGCAAGCGUUGUCCGGAUUUACUGGGUGUAAAGGGCGUGUAGCCGGGAGGGCAAGUCAGAUGUGAAAUCCACGGGCUCAACUCGUGAACUGCAUUUGAAACUACUCUUCUUGAGUAUCGGAGAGGCAAUCGGAAUUCCUAGUGUAGCGGUGAAAUGCGUAGAUAUUAGGAGGAACACCAGUGGCGAAGGCGGCUUACUGGACGAUAACUGACGCUGAGGCUCGAAAGCGUGGGGAGCAAACAGGAUUAGAUACCCUGGUAGUCCACGCUGUAAACGAUGAAUACUAGGUGUGCGGGGACUGACCCCCUGCGUGCCGCAGUUAACACAAUAAGUAUUCCACCUGGGGAGUACGAUCGCAAGGUUGAAACUCAAAGGAAUUGACGGGGGCCCGCACAAGCGGUGGAUUAUGUGGUUUAAUUCGAAGCAACGCGAAGAACCUUACCAGGGCUUGACAUCCUACUAACGAGAUAGAGAUAUGUUAGGUGCCCUUCGGGGAAAGUAGAGACAGGUGGUGCAUGGUUGUCGUCAGCUCGUGUCGUGAGAUGUUGGGUUAAGU